GAUUAAGUUAUUAAGGGCGCACGGUGGAUGCCUUGGCACUAGAAGCCGAUGAAGGACGUUACUAACGACGAUAUGCUUUGGGGAGCUGUAAGUAAGCUUUGAUCCAGAGAUUUCCGAAUGGGGAAACCCAGCAUGAGUUAUGUCAUGUUAUCGAUAUGUGAAUACAUAGCAUAUCAGAAGGCACACCCGGAGAACUGAAACAUCUUAGUACCCGGAGGAAGAGAAAGAAAAUUCGAUUCCCUUAGUAGCGGCGAGCGAAACGGGAAGAGCCCAAACCAACAAGCUUGCUUGUUGGGGUUGUAGGACACUCUAUACGGAGUUACAAAGGACGACAUUAGACGAAUCAUCUGGAAAGAUGAAUCAAAGAAGGUAAUAAUCCUGUAGUCGAAAAUGUUGUCUCUCUUGAGUGGAUCCUGAGUACGACGGAGCACGUGAAAUUCCGUCGGAAUCUGGGAGGACCAUCUCCUAAGGCUAAAUACUCUCUAGUGACCGAUAGUGAACCAGUACCGUGAGGGAAAGGUGAAAAGCACCCCGGAAGGGGAGUGAAAUAGAACCUGAAACCGUGUGCUUACAAGUAGUCAGAGCCCGUUAAUGGGUGAUGGCGUGCCUUUUGUAGAAUGAACCGGCGAGUUACGAUUUGAUGCAAGGUUAAGCAGUAAAUGUGGAGCCGUAGCGAAAGCGAGUCUGAAUAGGGCGUUUAGUAUUUGGUCGUAGACCCGAAACCAGGUGAUCUACCCUUGGUCAGGUUGAAGUUCAGGUAACACUGAAUGGAGGACCGAACCGACUUACGUUGAAAAGUGAGCGGAUGAACUGAGGGUAGCGGAGAAAUUCCAAUCGAACCUGGAGAUAGCUGGUUCUCUCCGAAAUAGCUUUAGGGCUAGCCUCAAGUGAUGAUUAUUGGAGGUAGAGCACUGUUUGGACGAGGGGCCCCUCUCGGGUUACCGAAUUCAGACAAACUCCGAAUGCCAAUUAAUUUAACUUGGGAGUCAGAACAUGGGUGAUAAGGUCCGUGUUCGAAAGGGAAACAGCCCAGACCACCAGCUAAGGUCCCAAAAUAUAUGUUAAGUGGAAAAGGAUGUGGCGUUGCCCAGACAACUAGGAUGUUGGCUUAGAAGCAGCCAUCAUUUAAAGAGUGCGUAAUAGCUCACUAGUCGAGUGACACUGCGCCGAAAAUGUACCGGGGCUAAACAUAUUACCGAAGCUGUGGAUUGUCCUUUGGACAAUGGUAGGAGAGCGUUCUAAGGGCGUUGAAGCAUGAUCGUAAGGACAUGUGGAGCGCUUAGAAGUGAGAAUGCCGGUGUGAGUAGCGAAAGACGGGUGAGAAUCCCGUCCACCGAUUGACUAAGGUUUCCAGAGGAAGGCUCG
rnacentral:rRNA from 1 species